rnacentral:rRNA from 1 species
CCAGACUCCUACGGGAGGCAGCAGUGGGGAAUAUUGGGCAAUGGGCGCAAGCCUGACCCAGCGACGCCGCGUGAGGGAAGACGGUCUUCGGAUUGUAAACCUCUUUCAGCAGGGAAGACAAAAGGACGGUACCUGCAGAAGAAGCCACGGCUAACUACGUGCCAGCAGCCGCGGUAAUACGUAGGGAGCGAGCGUUGUCCGGAAUUACUGGGUGUAAAGGGAGCGUAGGCGGGCGAGAAAGUUGAAUGUUAAAUCUACCGGCUUAACUGGUAGCUGCGUUCAAAACUUCUUGUCUUGAGUGAAGUAGAGGCAGGCGGAAUUCCUAGUGUAGCGGUGAAAUGCGUAGAUAUUAGGAGGAACACCAGUGGCGAAGGCGGCCUGCUGGGCUUUAACUGACGCUGAGGCUCGAAAGCGUGGGGAGCAAACAGGAUUAGAUACCCCUGUA